rnacentral:misc_RNA from 1 species
GAUGAGAACGUAGCGAAAUGCGAUAAGUAAUGUGAAUUGCAGAAUUCAGUGAAUCAUCGAAUCUUUGAACGCACAUUGCGCCCUUUGGCAUUCCGAAGGGCACACCUGUCCGAGCGCCGUCGCACAACUGAGGCGCAGCCUUGCGUUGGCGGGCGACUUGUGAGUAGCGAGUCGCCGCCCAAACGAGACGGCGCCGCGCCGCGGCCGACGAAGCACGAAAGCGGAAGUCGACGCGGAGGCGGUUGCCUGUAGGAAGACACAGCUUGGCCUCGGAUCAGGUGGGGAUACCCGCUGAACUUAAGCAUAUCAAUAAGCGGAGGA